AAGCCAAUGAGGAUUUAUAUAAAUAUUUGGAAUUACCGUCUGAACAUUAUUGAUGUCUGAUCGACUAUCUGAGGCUUCAA